ensembl:lncRNA
GACACACCUACACACACACACACACACACACACACACACACACACACACACACACACACACACACACACACACACACACACACACACACAAACACACACACACACACACACACACACACACACACACACACACACACACACACACACAAAAUUUAUCUCAAACUAGUUUACGUUGCCAAACCAAGUGUGACAUAGAACGAUGUUCACACAAACAGAAUAAAUAUUAAAAAUACAGUUUCACUACACAUACUGUAUCUAUAACAAAAUGUACAAUUAUGUUCUAAGUGUUAUAAAAGGGGAAACAGUUAUGUACAGGGUUUUACAUAUAUCCAUAUAUAUACUAUCCUCAUUAACUACAAAUGUAAAAAGUACAAACACAUCAUCCCCUGGAAGAACCUUCUGUCAGAUCACAUUGCUUUGGAAAAAAAUACCAGUUGUUUUUUUCCCCAUAAUUUUUCCUCUCACUACAUAUGUGUUUAAGUGUGUACAGUAUAUGUGUAGGUAUGUAUUUAUAUACUAUUUGCAGGCUAGGGGAGUAACGGAUUACAAUCAACGGCGUUAAGGAAUAUGGAUACAAAAAACAUGUAAUGGUAAUCCAUUACAGUAUAUUAAAAAACAUGUAAUCAGAUUACAGGGUUUUUUUAAUAAAAAUAGAGAUUACUUUGGUGGAUUACAGUUGAAAAGCAAGAGGAAUAUACAUCAGUGUAUCAGACACAGUGCACACAUUACGACACUUCAUGGCAGUUCACCACAACAAAUGAACAUGUGAAACAAGCUAAUGAUGUGAUGAUGGGAGAAAACACCGUGGUCAGCGCGCGCUUGUCUAGAAACUGACCAACUUGUCCGUGGACUCACAGAGCGUCUGUAUUUAAUACAUCUGAGCACUAAAGAGUUUUCUGAGCAGAGUUGAUGGAGCAGUAAGUGUGUUUUAUGUUUGUGUGUCACGUAGACACUGUAGUUACAUGUAUCUACCGUUAACAAAGACCCCUACACACUACACAGACCCCUACACACUACACAGACCCCUACACACUACACAGACCCCUACACACUACACAGGCCACUACACACUACACAGACCACUACACACUACACAGACCCCUACACACUACACAGACCACUACACACUACACAGACCACUACACACUACACACUACACAGACCCCUACACAAUACACAGACCCCUACACAUUACACAGACCCCUACACACUACACAGACCCCUACACACUACACAGACCACUACACAGACCCCUACACACUACACAGACCCCUACACACUACACAGACCACUACACACUACACAGACCCCUACACACUACACAGACCCCUACACACUACACAGACGAUCCCUACACACUACACAGACCACUACACACUACACAGACCACUACACACUACACAGACCACUACACACUACACAGACCCCUACACACUACACAGACCACUACACACUACACAGACCCCUACACACUACACAGACCACUACACACUACACAGACCACUACACAGCAAUCUGGAACAUGGCAGCAUGUCAAUAGCAUCUGGUUUUAUAUGACGUUAUAUUUGUGACACAAUUCUGCUGUCAGUGCACGUCUGAACUUUAUCACGACUGUACAUGGUCCACGUUUUAAAGAUCAUUAAAAUUAAACCAGCGUGCACAAGAAUUGUACACAGAGCUGUGUGUGCGUCUAAAGAAUAUGUUUGAAUAAUAAAUAAAACCAAUAGAAGCUGAUUUUCA